AGAAAAGAAAGAAAUGACACAAACUGAUUUCACAGUUCUGGGGGUCAGAAAUCUGAAAUGGGUCUCACUGGGCUAAAACCAAGGUGUCGACCCGGCCGUGUUUCUUUUGCAGCCUCCAGGAGAAUGUUUCCUCCCCUUUUCCUGGUCCGGAGGCUGCCCGAGUGCCCGUGUUCAUACCACUCCUGAAUCUGUUUCCAUCAAUCACCUUCUCUUCUGUAGUCAAAUCUCCAUUUGCCCAGCCUACCAAGAGGCCAAGGGGGCUGAGAAAGUGAGGAGUGGUCUGGCCCCUGAGACAAGGGUUAGAUCUUGCAGGCCUGACUGGGUGGGUUUCUCCGCCCCCGACUUCCUUUGCAGCACCCCGCUGGUGGCAGGACUUCUGAUAGGGUGACCAGACAACCAGACCCAAAGCUGUGAGGCUAAAUAUCUCUGUGUCCAAGUUUUGCUCAGGAAGAACAUGGCCGUCCACCUUCCCCAGCAGCUGGCACAGUUAGCUGGGGCCAGACCACCGGAUCAUUCCGGAUGGCCUAAAAACCAAAGGCCUUUCCCCACAUUUUCUGGACAGACUCAUAGCAUCCUAGGCAAGCAGGGGGGCACCCCACAGCCUGACUGAUAGUGCAUUUCUUGGUAUUCCUGUCAAGUGGAGGCACAGACUAUGUUUAAUUGGAUUUGGAUUAAAAAUAUGGUAAAAGGACAUAUUUUGCUUCUGAAUGUUGUGGAUCCCACACCACACCUGUUUGGAGAUGAGGCAUAAUUGGCUUAUGUUUUUUUAAUUUUUAAAAAAAUAUCUAUUCUUGAGAGAGAGAGAGAGAGAGAGCACGUGGGGGAGGGAGACAGAGGGAGCAGGGAGAGAGAGGGAGACACAGAAUCCAAAGCAGGUUCCAGGCUCUGAGCUGUCAGCACAGAGCCCAACGUGGGGCUCGAACCCACAAACUGUGAGAUCACGACCUGAGCUGAAGUCGGAUGCUUCACCGACUGAGCCACCCAGGUGCCUGGCAUAAUUGGCUUCUAAAGUAAACACGCUGUUGUGUCACCUUUCCCAUCACGUUGUGACUAUCUGCUCCAAGAGUCCUGCUUUUUACAAACUGAAUUUUCUUAUCUCUAAGGCUUUAGGUGUCUUUCUCUUUUACUUUACUAGACGGGGGGAGCCCCCUAAAACAACAUGCAGCCAAGUCUCCAGUGGCUCUCAAGAGGGCCAGAUCAGGGCUCCCAGGCACCUAUAAUAAGAACUCUUUGCCCUUCCCCCCAACUUGAAUGUCCCUUCGGAGAAAAGAUCACAGUGUGCCUUCAGGGUCAGGUAUGAGGAUUAUGUGGAUAGUUGGUUCUCCAACCUGAUCAACUUUGGACUCCAUAGACGGUGUCCAUCCAGCAGCUGGUCAGGAUAACAGCCCAGACGCAGAGUCAGCGGGGAACACGGUGUCCCCACCCUCCGUUCCGCUGGGAAGACGGCCGUGGCAAAUCAAACAGGAAAAACGGCUGCAUUUGUUCAUAAGGGACAAGGAACAUUUUGCUAUUGAAGACCGGAGGAGACUGUAGUGGCUUCUCCAUUUGAAGGGCACUGGCAUCACUCAUUUCCACGGGAAAACGAAUUCCCUCCUGCUCAGUGGAGCUGGGGGGACCGAAGAUUUGCUGUCCCUGGCAUUUGUUGUCACCUGAGGUAGACCACAUACGUACUGGGGCGAGAAGAGCAGGCGUCUCCUCCCAGGACAAAAGACAAGCAUGGGACCAGAAGUGUCUGUCUUAAAUGCCACUGGCUCCAUGGGUCUUGCUUCUUGUGUUCACCGCUGUGCCUGGCACAGAACCUGGCACUCGAUAGGAGUGCCUUAUGAAGGAUUCACUUAAUUCAAGAAAAAAAGAAGGAGAGAUCCCAUCUUUGCCAUGAACCUCUUAUUGGCGCCCUGACCAGGAUGUCGUAUAUUCUAACCUGGAACCUUGAGCUCUUUGCUGGAAGCUAUUCUAUGCUCCUCUUUGUAUCCCUGCUCCCUGUCAAUGAGUCUGGUACACAGUAGGUGCUCCGGAAGGUAUGACUUGAGUGAAUGAAAGAAAAGUUCUGCAGAUCAAGGGUAGUGUGUAAUCACCUAUUGCUGGGUAACAACCAACAUCAAAUCUUAGCAGCUCCAAUGGCCAUCAUUACCUGCUCACCAUUCUGGGCUCAGCUGGGCAGUCCUCUGGGGGGUGACUCAUGAAGCUAUAGGGUCUGAGAAGGCCUCAUGCAAAUGUCUGGGGCUUCCAGCCAGGGAGCCUCAGUUCUCUUCCAUAUGACAUCUCUGGCAGACAAGGAUAGAUGCCCAUGUAGCUGUGCUUCUGAAGCCUCCGCCUGGGUCACCUGUGCUGGUGCACAUAGGCCAGUGUGAGCCACUGGGAGGAGAUGACCCAGGUUCUAGAUGCAGGGAGGAGAGAUUUAUUAGAGGCCACGAAUCACGUCACCUCUCAUGACCUACCAUGGGCACAUCAUCCCAGGUUUAGCCACUUGGGGCCAGAAUUCUGGAAGAAUUAUUCUUCCAGGGGUUCCCAGGUGACUGGAUCUUGGAUUUAGGUAUUUCAGAAGCAGUAAAACAACAACAUAACAAUUCGGGAAUAGUCGGGCAAAACCCUGCAGAGGAUCUACGUGCACACACCCACAGUGGCAGCAGGUACAGAUGGCCUGGGGUGGGAGUUGCCACAAUGGUGGCCUGGACAAGCUCCUCCUCUGAACUUAGCUCAGGAGUUCCAUCCCCUCCUGAACCUCUAGGGGUAGCGGGCCCGGCCACCUAGAUUGGCGGCUGGGGGCAACUAUGCCAACAACUAGGCCUGGGGGCAGGAAGCCGUGAAUGAAGGGAUCAGAAGAAGAGGUGCGGGGACAGGUCUGGGAGCUGGAACCAGAAAGGUCUCAGCCAUACCCUUGGCUGCUGAAUUGGUCAGCCGAGGACACUGGCUGCUCUCCAACCCCCAUAUACCCCAGUGCUUGGCCCACCGUGUACCCUGGAACCUCAGAGCUCGACACCCAGGUCCUCUCUGCACUCAUCUUUUGGAACCCCUGACUGUCAUGCUUUGAGUAAUUAGUAAAAUUAGUUUGCCAUAAUUA